rnacentral:rRNA from 1 species
GAUGAACGCUGGCGGCGUGCUUAACACAUGCAAGUCGAACGGAAAGGCCGAAGCUUGCUUCGGUACUCGAGUGGCGAACGGGUGAGUAACACGUGGGUGAUCUGCCCUGUACUUCGGGAUAAGCUUGGGAAACUGGGUCUAAUACCGGAUAUGACGAUCUCUUGGAUGGGGUUGUGGAAAGCUUUUGCGGUAUGGGAUGAGCUCGCGGCCUAUCAGCUUGUUGGUGGGGUAAUGGCCUACCAAGGCGUCGACGGGUAGCCGGCCUGAGAGGGUGUACGGCCACAUUGGGACUGAGAUACGGCCCAGACUCCUACGGGAGGCAGUAGUGGGGAAUAUUGCACAAUGGGCGCAAGCCUGAUGCAGCGACGCCGCGUGGGGGAUGACGGCCUUCGUGUUGUAAACUCCUUUCGCAAUCGACGAAGCCUUUUGGUGACGGUAGGUUGAGAAGAAGCACCGGCUAACUACGUG